rnacentral:rRNA from 1 species
GAUGAACGCUGGCGGCGUGCCUAAUACAUGCAAGUCGAGCGAACAGACGAGGAGCUUGCUCCUCUGACGUUAGCGGCGGACGGGUGAGUAACACGUGGAUAACCUACCUAUAAGACUGGGAUAACUUCGGGAAACCGGAGCUAAUCCCGGAUAAUAUAUUGAACCGCAUGGUUCAAUAGUGAAAGACGGUUUUGCUGUCACUUAUAGAUGGAUCCGCGCCGCAUUAGCUAGUUGGUAAGGUAACGGCUUACCAAGGCAACGAUGCGUAGCCGACCUGAGAGGGUGAUCGGCCACACUGGAACUGAGACACGGUCCAGACUCCUACGGGAGGCAGCAGUAGGGAAUCUUCCGCAAAGGGCGAAAGCUUGACGGAGCAACGCCGCGUGAGUGAUGAAGGUCUUCGGAUCGUAAAACUCUGUUAUUAGGGAAGAACAAAUGUGUAAGUAACUAUGCACGUCUUGACGGUACCUAAUCAGAAAGCCACGGCUAACUACGUG